rnacentral:lncRNA from 1 species
CUUAUUGAAAUUAUCAAAACCCUUAUAGAGAAGUGAGUUCAUAGCACCUGUAGUAUUGGUUCUGCUGAUGUAAAUAUUAUCAGAAUUUCUCAUAAAAUAAGGGUGAAUAUCUGAAUUUUAACUAACAAGAUCGAGAAAAUAUUUAGGUGCCAAUCCAUGUACAAUUCUAAAAAUCAAUAUCAUGGUCAAA